CGAUAGCAGAGUAACGUUACCAGGAAGAGAUCUCCAGUUCAAAAAUGGAGAACGAACGUCUACGGGUAUUUCUUCUGAAGUUUGGAGCAGCCCAUGGCCCGCCGUUCCCCGGAUCAGCGACGCUACUGCUGCUAGUCGGUGGCAAGACGCCGUUUCAGCAUCAAGCCAGCUGCCUGCCUACUCCCUAUCGCAAAUUAUUUAUAUAUACUUAUAUAUAUAUAUUGCAUUGGAUGCCAUGUUCAUUUGGAAAAGUACUGUCAAAUAUUGUGUGUGCAAAAUAUCAGAUAACGAGGGCAGUCCUGGUCACGUGUAUCCACUAAUGACUAAAAAGCAAAUCCCAGCCAAAUCUAAUUGUAGUGUAACGACCCUGGGUUUAUAAGCGCGGAAAUCGACUCUGCCGUUUGAGCAUGCUUUUGCGGCACAGUCGAUAGCGUCAAGGCCUUGCAGACUUCUCACACAGUGCAAUGGUGUCAUAGUAAUAAAAUAAGUACCAUUGUAAAUAACAAUAAUAAAAAAUAUUAAAUUAAGUACAAGAAGCAUGCAGUUAAAAUAUAUGAAUGCAAUUAACCCAUGCUUCUCUGGGAAUGCUACAAAGUCUGGAAAUUGUGGGCGAAACUAGAAAGUUGUCUGUCAAGUAUUACAAUGUAAAUGUACUUUUAAUCCGGCUGUCUGCAUAUUUCACGACAUGGUAUAUGAGGGUGUAGUGAGAUACCCAAUGGGCUGGACGAUUCUCUUCCAAUCACGAAAAAAAGGUAUACUAGAAACUUAGAAGUGAAUCAAUCCGCCAUCAUUGACACAAUGGAAAAAAUCUAAUGAUUUAUUAUUGAAAUAUUGAAAUAGCAUGGGGUGACUGAGAAAAACAAAUUGGUACAAUUUAAGGCCAAGUGGCAAACAAUAAUGCAGGCACUAGGGAUGGGCUGUGAGCAUGCUGGUCUGGGAAGAUGUAGUUGGUGUAUGAGUGAGUCUGUAAAUUGUUCUUAUGUAUACUUUUUUUUGGGGGGGGGGGGGGG